UACGUAGGGUCCGAGCGUUGUCCGGAAUUAUUGGGCGUAAAGGGCUCGUAGGCGGUCUGUCGCGUCGGUAGUGAAAACUCAGGGCUUAACCCUGAGCCUGCUUCCGAUACGGGCAGACUAGAGGUAUGCAGGGGAGAAUGGAAUUCCUGGUGUAGCGGUGAAAUGCGCAGAUAUCAGGAGGAACACCGGUGGCGAAGGCGGUUCUCUGGGCAUUACCUGACGUGAGGAGCGAAAGUGUGGGAGCGAACAGG
rnacentral:rRNA from 1 species